rnacentral:misc_RNA from 1 species
GAUGAAGAACGUAGCGAAAUGCGAUAAGUAAUGUGAAUUGCAGAAUUCAGUGAAUCAUCGAAUCUUUGAACGCACCUUGCACCCUUUGGCUAUUCCGAAGGGUAUGCCUGUUUGAGUAUCAUGAACACCUCAACUCUCAUGGUUUGCCAUGAUGAGCUUGGACUUUGGGGGUCUUGCUGGCCUGUGGUCAGCUCCUCUCAAAUGGAUUAGCUUGCCAGUGUUUGGUGGCAUCACAGGUGUGAUAACUAUCUACGCUUGUGGUUUUCCACCAGGUAACCUUCAGCAAUGGGGGUUCGCUGGGGCUCAUAAAUGUCUCUCCUCAGUGAGGACAGCUCUUUGAACGUUUGAUUUCAAAUCAGGUAGGACUACCCGCUGAACUUAAGCAUAUCAAUAAGCGGAGGA